GGAGGUAUGGCUCAGUGGUAGAGCACCCACUCAGCAAGUGCGUGGUCCUGAGUUCAACCCCAACUACUGCCA
rnacentral:tRNA from 1 species